rnacentral:sRNA from 1 species
UUAUAGCCCCGGUUGUAAUGAAAAUCCUUUUUUGUGAUUCCGGUAACGGAUUACAAAAAAAGAUUGCAAUGAAAAACGGGACCUCAU